rnacentral:lncRNA from 1 species
GAAAUUUCCAAGAAAGUGAAGAUCUCGUACAACGCUGUGUACAACGUUAACAGUGAAGACGGGACUCAGGGAUGCUGGCCUUCUUGGCAGAGUUGAAAGAACACUGGACAGAGGGAGGUUGGGGAAAAAGCGUUCUGGACAGAGGAAGGUUGGGGAAAAAGCGUUCUGGACAGAGGAAGGUUGGGGAAAAAGCGUUCUGGACAGAGGGAGGUUGGGGAAAAAGCGUUCUGGACAGAGGGAGGUUGGGGAAAAAGCGUUCUGGACAGAGGGAGGUUGGGGAAAAAGCGUUCUGGACAGAGGUGUGAGAAGUUUGAGGUGUUCGGAUCACAAAGAAGAUUCGUGAGACGCAGAAAUAAUGAAGAGAUGCUGGAGGAGUGUUUGACGCCGUCUGUCAUCACGGUGGAGGCAAUGUGAUGG